UCAGGUCCAAAACUCCUAGAGCACUGGGUUGUUUUAAAUCUUGUUACAGAUCCCAAGUCUGUGGCGCAUGGCUAUUUGUAGUUAUUACCAGUUAGCAACUCUAAAUACUUAACUCUUUUAAGAAGUGAAGGGUCAACAGCUUGUCAAACAAUUGUUUCCAAACAACCACUCAUUUUGUAUGUUAUCACAAGAGCAAUUUGUGCAUAGAUAAAUCCAGAAUAUGUUCAAGUGACCACUGUUCUUUGACAGAACACCGCAGAAUGGAUUAGAAGAACACCACAACCCAGCCACCGGUUUCCGUGUGGAUGAUGCACUGAGCAAGAGAAGCAGGGCCAAAAUGAGAGCAGCCGCCUCACCCCAUAUGACUCACUGUUGUCAGUUUCCGAGUCACAGAACCACUUGCAGGAACGGCUCUAGAGAAUUUGGGAAAAAAGGAAAGAAAAAAGAAGCUUCCAUUUUUUUUUUUGAAUGGAAGAAGGAGAACAUAAAGAAAAAAGAAGGGUUCUCAAAUAUGUAGCCUGAAGCCUUGUCAGAUUUGUAUGGGGAGCUCCUCCCAUGGAGAAGUGGUGGCAGGGAAGAAAGCACAAAGGUGCAAAUGUUUCUACACUCCCCCUAUCAAAUCUGUCCCUGAGGUUAUCGCAGAUUAGAAGGCGAAAAAACCACACUCGCGUUGACAUAUUUUCCGAGCUCAUGCAGUCCUCCCACACUGAUAGAACACAGCUGAAUGCAUGGAGGCAUUCAGUGGCAGAGGCCAGGAAAGCAUUAAGUGAGUGCGAUGAGAAGAGGCAGGGUGCAAUGCUGAGGCUAAUGGGGGAGCAAACGGACAUGCUCAGGCGUCUGGUGGAGCUGCGGGAAAGCCAACAAGAGCACAGACAGCCACUGCAUCUACUGUACAACCGCCUUCCCUCCUCCCCAUGUUCCAUAGCUUCCUCACCCAGACGCCCAAGAACGCGGGGUCGGGGGGGAGGCUCCGGGCACCCAGCCACUCCACUCCAGAGGAUAGCCCAAGCAACAGAAGGCUGUCAUUCAAAGAGUUUUGAUUUGUAGUGUAGCUACAAUAAGCAAUGUGCCCUUGUCCUUGCCUCCUCCCGUCCUCCCCCACCUCACCCUACCCCACCCAGGCUACCUUAUCAGUUAUCUCCCUUUUUUAAAAAUUCAUUAAAAAA